GAUGAGGGUGAGCUGCUGGGCACAUCCUCUUAGCACAUUGCCAGGUAAUCCAUCUGGACCGGCAGCCUUCCUGGGGUUCACUGCUAGGAACACACAUCUGACAUCGUGCUCCGUUACAGUGAAUGGAGCGGUGCAGGAACCAGCAUGUCUUUAUCCUGUCUUCCUUCUCUCACCCCAACCAAUCACAGCAGAUGGCCCCGCCCCUCCCUGAGCCUGGUUCUGCUGGAGGUUUCUUCCUGUUAAAAGGGAGUUUUUCCUUCCCACUGUCGCAUGAUUGUUGGGUUUUUCUCUGUAUCUAUUAUUGUACGAUCUACUGUACAAUAUAAAGCGCCUUGAGGCGACUGUUGUUGUGAUUUGGCGCUGUAUAAAUAAAAUUGAAUUGAAUUGAAUACGUUACUCUCAUUCAGUAACGUAACGAAAUCUAUUCUGUAAUCUGUAGUGGAAUACAUUUUAAAAGUAAACUUUCCAACACUGCUUGUAGAUCUGCCCCUGAACAAUAGGAUUUUACACCUUUAUGAUUAGAACUACAGUAUGGGCAGAAAUCUGUGCCAUCAGAAACUGAAUUUGAAUAGUUACAUUUGAAUUGCUCAGAUUGAACUCAAUUCAAUUCAACUGAAUUCAACUUAUGGUUUCUGAAUGAUCGUCACUAAAUUGAAAUUGAAUUCAAUUGCUUUGAAACUGUAUUAUAUCCUUUAAAAAUGUAGCUCUCGAAUAAUUUCAGUUUCACUUCUCACCAUUCAGUUUCAGUUCCAAAAUUCAGUUAUUUGGAACUUACAUCCGGUUCCGGUUCAAGACUAAUCAAGCGGAGAGUAAUCGAACUUCGUUUUACCAGCGGACCGAAAGUGGCAAUCUUGAGCUGGACCUGGAGUUUCCGAACCAUAAAUUGAAUUUCAAAUUAGACUAAUUCAAAUUCAGUUUUCAAAAGCAUUUAUUCAAGUUACAAUUCAGAUUCAAUCUGAGCCACGUGAUGUUUCUGUUUUAUUAGGAGACUGUCUCACCCCAACAUCGUCAGACUCAUGACAGUUGCCCGCACUGAGUCCUGCUUUUUGUUGGCAACUGAAUACAUUCAUGGUGCAACCCUGCAGCAAGUGCUUCACACAGACAGCUGCUACUCUAAUAGUCUGUGUUAUUGAAGGAUUCAGCACUUCUUUUGGGUUUUUUAAUCCAUUUUUAGACAGCGAUGAGAUCAGCUGCACACUCCACAGAGGCCCAGAGUUACUGUUAAUAUCAAAAAUAUAACGCUGUCCUUUGAGAUUUUAACAUAAGACUGUGAGUGUGAUGGAUCUAAAACUGUUUAAAUCUCUACAGCCUGGUAACAUGGAAACUUUAAAAACAUCAGCAGAAGGUUUCAGUAGUGUAGUGUGAGUUGUUCUUUUUAUUUAAUAAUAGUCUAUAUUAUCUAUAACAGCUACAUUCACCCUGGAGAGAAACUAGUGAGGGAGACCAUCAGGACCAAGCUGGGUUUCUGGGUCCAGAGGUUUGGAGAAACUUCUUCCCGUUCUUUCAUCACAGCUGUCCUGUGCCAGAAGUUCUGUUGACCCACUGAAAGAGGCAUCAUUUCAGAAACACCAGGAACACUGAAGCUCAUCGCAUUGAUCAAGCA
ensembl:lncRNA